rnacentral:rRNA from 1 species
AUUGAACGCUGGCGGCAUGCCUUACACAUGCAAGUCGAACGGCAGCACGGAGCUUGCUCUGGUGGCGAGUGGCGAACGGGUGAGUAAUAUAUCGGAACGUACCCUGGAGUGGGGGAUAACGUAGCGAAAGUUACGCUAAUACCGCAUACGAUCUAAGGAUGAAAGUGGGGGAUCGCAAGACCUCAUGCUCGUGGAGCGGCCGAUAUCUGAUUAGCUAGUUGGUAGGGUAAAAGCCUACCAAGGCAUCGAUCAGUAGCUGGUCUGAGAGGACGACCAGCCACACUGGAACUGAGACACGGUCCAGACUCCUACGGGAGGCAGCAGUGGGGAAUUUUGGACAAUGGGCGCAAGCCUGAUCCAGCAAUGCCGCGUGAGUGAAGAAGGCCUUCGGGUUGUAAAGCUCUUUUGUCAGGGAAGAAACGGUGAGGGCUAAUAUCCUUUGCUAAUGACGGUACCUGAAGAAUA